UACGGGGGAUGCAAGCGUUAUCCGGAUUUAUUGGGUUUAAAGGGUGCGUAGGCUGUGAGGUAAGUCAGCGGUGAAAUGCCCCCGCUCAACGGGGUGAAGUGCCAUUGAUACUGCCUUGCUGGAAUGCGGAUGCCGUGGGAGGAAUGUGUGGUGUAGCGGUGAAAUGCAUAGAUAUCACACAGAACACCGAUUGCGAAGGCAUCUCACGAAUCCGCGAUUGACGCUGAUGCACGAAAGCGUGGGUAUCAAAC
rnacentral:rRNA from 1 species